GGCAGUUUGGUUUAAUGGUAAAACAUUUGACAUGUAAUCACAGAUAUAUGAGUUCGAGUCUCAUGGCUGGCC
rnacentral:tRNA from 1 species